AGAUUGAACGCUGGCGGCAGGCUUAACACAUGCAAGUCGAGCGGGGAUAGGGUGCUUGCACCUGAUUCCUAGCGGCGGACGGGUGAGUAAUGCUUAGGAAUCUGCCUAUUAGUGGGGGACAACGUUCCGAAAGGGACGCUAAUACCGCAUACGUCCUACGGGAGAAAGCAGGGGAUCUUCAGACCUUGCGCUAAUAGAUGAGCCUAAGUCGGAUUAGCUAGUUGGUGGGGUAAAGGCCUACCAAGGCGACGAUCUGUAGCGGGUCUGAGAGGAUGAUCCGCCACACUGGGACUGAGACACGGCCCAGACUCCUACGGGAGGCAGCAGUGGGGAAUAUUGGACAAUGGGGGCAACCCUGAUCCAGCCAUGCCGCGUGUGUGAAGAAGGCCUUUUGGUUGUAAAGCACUUUAAGCGAGGAGGAGGCUUACCUGGUUAAUACCCGGGAUAAGUGGACGUUACUCGCAGAAUAAGCACCGGCUAACUCUGUGCCAGCCGCCGC
rnacentral:rRNA from 1 species